rnacentral:tRNA from 1 species
GCAGCAGUAGCUCAGUGUAGAGCACCAGUCUUGUAAACUGGACGCCGAAGGUUAAAAUCCUUCCUGCCGCU